UUGGACCGAUAUAUUUUUCUCGUCUAUAUUAAUUUUAGGAAAUUUUAAAAGGUUUGUUAGGAAGAAAGAGUAACUUAUAAAUCUCGAUUUGAGAUAGUUCCUCAUCUUGGCAAAUUUGCUAAGCAUUAUAUAUUGGCUCUCACAGCAAUAGAUUCUCUAUCUUUGUUAUUUACAAUAAGAGCGAUCUAGCCAUAUCAUUCAUUUAAAUAUGAGUUUAUUUUGAUACUAAACAUUUGAAACAAAAGCCUUUCCCAGUAUUAUAGGUUUUAAUAUGCUAUUUGCAAAUAAUGCAUUAUAUAGUGUUAUUGCCAGAUACACCAAUUGAAUUAAACUGUGUGUGUUUCAAUUCUUUUAUAUGCUUCUCUAUAUUUUGAGUACUAAAUGUAAAUACCUGAUGCAUAACUACAUCAGUAAUCCAAUAAUUUCCAUACUCAGUAAUCCAAUAAUUUCCAUGAUCAAUGAUUAAACUACAUGGAAGAGAGAUAAAAUAUGAUUUUUCCAAAUAGUAUUAACAGAAGGUUAUAUUAAAGUAAUCAUUUUGAUUAAAAAAAUACAAAUUUUGAAUCGAAUAAAAUGUAGGAGUUACUAAAUUAGAUUAGCUGUCGUGUAAUUGUAGUCAAUGAAACACGUUUUAAAUCCUGUAGACAAAUAAGAAGAAAAAAAAGGAAUAAAUAUACAGUAUUCAGAUUAACACUUUAUUUUUUACAGGGAAACUAUAUGGUAUGUACAUGAGUAUGAAUGGAGGUAUAAGUGAUAAAUAGUAUAAAGAAAAGAAGUAGAUCGACGUGUAAUACAGUAUUACACACGAUAUCAUCGAAAUGUUCGAUGACGGAAAAGGCACACUACUCCGAGAAGCAGAUACAGAAAGAGAUGAAGGAUGUACCAAGAUUGCAACAACAAGGUUCUGCCAAGUCAGAGAAAGAAAUAUUGUUUCUCUUCAAGAACAAGUCGAUCAGCAAUAAAAAAAAGUCGCGGCGCGGAGAAGAAUAUAUAGAUAACGAAGAAGAACAUUGAUAUCGAGAAGAAGUACGUGGCAGAAUCGAGAGAAAAGAUUUUGAAGAUUACGGAGGAUAUGAAAUAGAAAAAAAGAGGUAAUGCCGAAAAAUAUUGAUGAAAGGAAGAAAUAUAAGAACAUGUGAGAAAGUUUACCGAAUACAGAAAUUGUGAAAUUACGAACGAAUACAUGGUUCCAACUUCAUCUUUAUCGCUUUUUUUAAUAUUUGUGAUUCAAAAUAUUUUUCAUUUAUGAAAUUAAUAAUAUGAACUUCUACUGUAAAUAUCCCAUCAAUUAAUGAACUGUAUUCAAUAGUUUUGUUUAAUUUAUUAUUGAACAUUUCAUAAAAAUUUGUUUUAAUGUGUG